GACCCAGCAGCAGGCAGCUGCCCAGUCCACCUCUGUGCCAUCCCUCUGCCCUGGAGGAGUGCACGCCCCGCCACCCCGCGGCCGCUAUCCCACCCAGGGACAGCGUGGACUCCGCCAAACCCCCCGCCCAGCCACCGGAGCCUACCCGUCAUUCAUUCAUAUUACGUGCCCACCGCGGGUGCCAGGCCCUGGCCGCCCAGCAGCAGAUGGGUCAGUGCGACUCUGUGGAGCUGAAGUUUCAGCAAAGAGAGAGAAAGGGCGAGAGAACAGCUGGUGCGAUUAAUUGUACAGGAGCGUGUUCUGGAAUGCAGAGUUCCGCAGCCCCUCCCUAAGGGAAGCCGAGGUCAUUUCCAGGUGGCGCCUGCCCCACCGUCAGGGAGGCCUCUGCUCAGGUA
rnacentral:lncRNA from 1 species